rnacentral:tRNA from 1 species
GGAGAGAUGACCGAGCGGCCGAAGGUGCACGACUGGAAAUCGUGUGUACCGAAAGGUACCGUGGGUUCGAAUCCCACUCUCUCCGCCA